rnacentral:rRNA from 1 species
GACGAACGCUGGCGGCGUGCUUAACACAUGCAAGUCGAACGGAAAGGCCCUGCUUUUGUGGGGUGCUCGAGUGGCGAACGGGUGAGUAACACGUGAGUAACCUGCCCUUGACUUUGGGAUAACUUCAGGAAACUGGGGCUAAUACCGGAUAGGAGCUCCUGCUGCAUGGUGGGGGUUGGAAAGUUUCGGCGGUUGGGGAUGGACUCGCGGCUUAUCAGCUUGUUGGUGGGGUAGUGGCUUACCAAGGCUUUGACGGGUAGCCGGCCUGAGAGGGUGACCGGCCACAUUGGGACUGAGAUACGGCCCAGACUCCUACGGGAGGCAGCAGUGGGGAAUAUUGCACAAUGGGCGGAAGCCUGAUGCAGCAACGCCGCGUGCGGGAUGACGGCCUUCGGGUUGUAAACCGCUUUCGCCUGUGACGAAGCGUGAGUGACGGUAAUGGGUAAAGAAGCACCGGCUAACUACGUGCCAGCAGCCGCGGUGAUACGUAGGGUGCGAGCGUUGUCCGGAUUUAUUGGGCGUAAAGGGCUCGUAGGUGGUUGAUCGCGUCGGAAGUGUAAUCUUGGGGCUUAACCCUGAGCGUGCUUUCGAUACGGGUUGACUUGAGGAAGGUAGGGGAGAAUGGAAUUCCUGGUGGAGCGGUGGAAUGCGCAGAUAUCAGGAGGAACACCAGUGGCGAAGGCGGUUCUCUGGGCCCUUCCUGACGCUGAGGAGCGAAAGCGUGGGGAGCGAACAGGCUUAGAUACCCUGGUAGUCCACGCUGUAAACGGUGGGUACUAGGGGUGGGGUCCAUUCCACGGGUUCCGUGCCGUAGCUAACGCUUUAAGUACCCCGCCUGGGGAGUACGGCCGCAAGGCUAAACCUCAAAGGAAUUGACGGGGCCCCGCACAAGCGGCGGAGCAUGCGGAUUAAUUCGAUGCAACGCGUAGAACCUUACCUGGGUUUGACAUGGAUCGGGAGUGCUCAGAGAUGGGUGUGCCUCUUUUGGGGUCGGUUCACAGGUGGUGCAUGGCUGUCGUCAGCUCGUGUCGUGAGAUGUUGGGUUAAGUCCCGCAACGAGCGCAACCCUUGUUCACUGUUGCCAGCACGUUAUGGUGGGGACUCAGUGGAGACCGCCGGGGUCAACUCGGAGGAAGGUGGGGAUGACGUCAAGUCAUCAUGCCCCUUAUGUCCAGGGCUUCACGCAUGCUACAAUGGCUGGUACAGAGAGUGGCGAGCCUGUGAGGGUGAGCGAAUCUCGGAAAGCCGGUCUCAGUUCGGAUUGGGGUCUGCAACUCGACCUCAUGAAGUCGGAGUCGCUAGUAAUCGCAGAUCAGCAACGCUGCGGUGAAUACGUUCCCGGG